rnacentral:rRNA from 1 species
UACGUAGGGGGCGAGCGUUGUCCGGAUUUAUUGGGCGUAAAGAGCGUGUAGGCGGCCAGGUAGGUCUGCUGUGAAAACUCGAGGCUCAACCUCGAGACGUCGGCGGAAACCAUCUGGCUAGAGUCCGGAAGAGGAGAGUGGAAUUCCCGGUGUAGCAGUGAAAUGCGUAGAGAUCGGGAGGAACAUCAGUUGCGAAGGCGGCUCUCUGGACCAGCACUGACACUGAGGCACGAAAGCGUGGGGAGCAAACAGG